rnacentral:rRNA from 1 species
UAGACUCUGAGUCAACCUGGAUCACCCAUUAAGUUUAAGCAUAUUAAUAAGUGGAGGAAAAAAAGCUUACCAAGAUUCCCCUAGUAAUGGCAAAUGAAUCGAGAAGAGCCUAACUUGAGAAUUAAGCACCUUCAACAUCCAAAUUGUAGUUUGUAAAAGAUUUUUCAUGGCGGACCAAGCCUCAAUCCCCUGAAGGGGGCAUUGGAGAGGGUGAAAGCCCCAAUGUGCUUGGACCUUGUCGCACUAAUAUUGGCUAUUUGUGAGUUGGGUUAUUUAGGAAUGUAACCCCAAUCGGGUGGUAAAUUCUGUCCAAGGUUAAAUAUGGGCAAAAAACCAUUAGUGAAUAAGUAUUGCGAGGGAAAGAUGAAAAGGACUUUGAAAAGAAAGUUAAAGAGUGCUUGAAAUUGUUGGGAAAAAAAUGAAUAGGGAUCAGUGAUGUGCCCCGAUCGGAUGUAGAAUAGCGAGAGCUAGUAUGUCGAUCAACUUAGGACAUGGACCAAUGCUAGUUGCUGUUCCAGCCCAAGCUUGAGCUUUAAAUAUUCCUAUAGAGAUGUUGUCUCCAUGAUUGUGGAAUACAGCAUGAGCCAUCUUGGUGUGCCUCAGCAUGCAUGUGCUUUCAACAUUGACCUACAGGCUCCCUAUCUGACUCGUCUUGAAACAUAGACCAAAGAGUUUGACAUAUAUGUGAGUUAACAAGCUAGAAAACCCGUAAGGCGUAAGCAAGCUAUUUGGCAGUAUCCCUAACGGGUGCACCACCAAUCAACCUUGAUCUUCUAAUAUGGGUUCGAGUGUGAGCAUGCCUAUCAGGACAUGAAAGAUGGUGAACUAUGCCUAAGUGGGGCGAAGCUAGAAGAAACUUCGGUAGAGGCUCGCAGUGAUACUGACAUGCAAAUCAUUCAUCUGACUUAGGCAUAGGUUCGAAAGACUAAUCAAACCGUCCAGCAGUUGGUUCUUUCCAAAGUUUCCCUUAGGAUAGUUAGAACCUUUAGUGAGUUUUAUUAGGUAAAGCCAAUGAUUAGAGGCAUUGGGGGUGCAACACCUUUAACCUAUUCUUAAAUUUUAAAUUAGUUGGAUGGUAUGGCUGCUUUGUUAAGCUGCGCCACAGAAUUGAGAGCUCUAAGUGGGCCAUUUUUGGUAAGGAAAACUGGGGAUAUGGGAUGAACCAAAAGCUAGGUUACGGUGCCCAAUUAUAUGUUAACCUAGAACCCACAAAAGGUGUUGAUUGAUUAAGAUAGCAAGACGGUAGUCAUGGAAGUCAAAAUCCAUUAAAGAGUGUGUAACAACUCACCUGCCAAAUCAACUAGCUCUAAAAAUGGAUGACAUUUAGGCCUACGACCUAUACCUAACCUUCGAGACAAGGCUAAACCCCGAUGAGUAGGAGGGCACGACAGUCACCAUAAAACCCUUGGUGAAGUGACCAUCAGUGUAUAUCAUGGUGGUAGUAGCAAAUAUUCAAAGAACUUUAAAAACAAAAAAAAAGAAAGGUUCCAUAUGAAAAGCACUUGCACAUGGAUUAGUUGAUCCUAAAAGAUGGGGGAAGCCUAUCCUAUAGCGCGUCUAGUGUGAGCUUCGGAAAGGAGUUGGGUUAAAAUUCCUAAACCAGGAUGUGAUAGCUGGUGGCAAUGUUAAAGAGUUCAAAGCUAUCAGUGUAGGCCUUAGGAAAUGUUAUUUUUUUUGUUUAAUAGGUUGCCCACCUUGGAAAUGGCACAACUAAAGGUAGGGUCUAGCAACCAAAAGAGUACCACACAUCACACGGUGUCCAGUGCACCCUUAAUGGUCCUUGAAAAUUAGGAGGAUAGAGUGCCAUCCAUGCCCGAUCAUGCUUAUAACCAUAUAGGUCUCCAAGGUGGACAACUUCUAGUCAAUGGAAAAAUGUAGGCAAGGAAAGUUGGCAAAAUGGAUCUAUAACCUUGAGAAAGGGAUUAGCUCUAAGGGAUUGGCACGAGGGUCAUAGUCCCAAACUUAUUAGUUGUGGGUGCACUACUCGUGCUAUCCCAUGAUGAGAGUGGGUCACCGUUUGCUAGUUGGGGGAUGGAUCAGGAACGUUUCCUUCGAGGUUUUUCCUCGGGUGAUGAACAGUCGACUCAAAACUAGUACAGACAAGGGGAAUCCAACUAUUUAAUUAAAACAAAACAUUGCAAUGGUCUCUAUAAAUGCUCAUGUAAUGUGAUUUCCACCUAGUGCUAUGAAUGUCAAAGUGAAAAAAUUCAACCAAGUGCAGGUAAAUGGUGGGAGUAACUAUAACUCUUUCAAGGUAGCCAAAUGCCUUUUCAGUUAAUUACUAAUGCUCAUGAAGAUUCCCACCCAUUUUGUUUACUAUCUAGCAAAACCAUAGCCAAAGGAACGGGCUUGGUAGAAUUAGUGAGGAAAGAAGACCCUGUUGAGCUUGACUCUAGUUUGACUUCGUGAAAUGACUUGAGAGGUGUAGGAUAAGUGGGAGUCCUUAGGCAAAAUUGAAAUAUCAUUACUUUUAACAUUAUUUUACUUAUUCUAUGAAUCAAAGGUAAGGCAUGACCCCUUCUUUUAGACCCAAGGCUAACCUCGGUCGAUCGAUCUGGGUAGAUGACAAUGUCAAGUGGGGAGUUUGGCUGGGGUGGCACAUCUAUUAAAAGAUAAUGCAAGUGUCCUACAAUGAGCUUAAUGGGAGCGAACAUUUUGUAUGGAAUAAUGAGUAAAAGCUCAUUUGAUUUUGAUUUCUAGUAUGAAUACAAACCAUGAAAGCAUGGCCUAUCGAUCCUUUAAACCUUUGGAAUUUAAAGCUAGAGAUGUUAAAAAAGUUACCACAAGGAUAACUGGCUUAUAGUGGCCAAACGUUCAUAGCGUCAUGGCUUUUUGAUCCUUUGAUGUCUGUUUUUCCUAUCAUUAUGAAGUAGAAUUUGCCAAGUGUUGGAUUGUUCACCCAUCAAUAGGGAAUGUGAGCUGGGUUUAGAUCAUCGUGAGAUAGGUUAGUUUUACCUUACUAAUGGCAGCAUCAUAAUAGUAAUUCAACCUAGUAUGAGGGGGACUAUUGAUUUGCAUAAUUGAUUAUCGUGCUUGGUUGAAAAGCCGGUGGCUCAAAGCUACUAUGUGUUGGAUUAUGAUUGUAUGCCUCCAAGUUAAAAUCUAGGCUAAAAGUGACAGAAGUGCCUAUCGCUUGAUUGCCAAUCCGUAUUAAGGCCCCAUGGCCCCAAAAAGCAUGUGUCAUAAGUGUAGCCCUUAUGACAGAUAAGCUGCGCGGGCCUUUUUGGAGCUCAAUUCCCACUGUUCGAUGGGUAGAAUC